UACGAAGGGUGCAAGCGUUACUCGGAAUUACUGGGCGUAAAGCGUGCGUAGGUGGUUUGUUAAGUCUGUUGUGAAAGCCCCGGGCUCAACCUGGGAAUGGCAAUGGAUACUGGCAGGCUAGAGUGCGGUAGAGGGUAGUGGAAUUCCCGGUGUAGCGGUGAAAUGCGUAGAGAUCGGGAGGAACACCAGUGGCGAAGGCGGCUAUCUGGACGGUUUCUGACACUAAGACUCGAAAGCGUGGGGAGCAAACAGG
rnacentral:rRNA from 1 species